GACUCGCGCGAGAUGUGCCUCCACCCUGCGGGCAGAGAGUCGGAGGGCUAGGCGUGCGGCUCCUAAGUGCACCGCACUCUUCGCUACGAGCGGUUGUGAAGUAUACGAAGACAGCCUCAACCAACUAUGUGCAGUUGGAGAAGGAAGAUGUAUUUUCAUAGCAUUUUCAGGAAACUACUGAAGAAAAUACUCCACUAAAAUGAAGAAUCAAACUAAGAAGGGGAAAGACAGGCUACAGAAAACAGGAAAGCAACAUGUAUGGCCUGGAUUUUACAAACAGCCUCUUUCCUGGCCUGUCGGACAGAGUCCUGACCCCCAGUUUCAACUGAAUCCAGUUCCAAAAGU